AUGCGGCAUGGGCAUCUUGAGGAGGAAGUCCCCGCCGGCCGGCAUGAUGCUCCUCAGCGGCGGGAACGAUUUGAACAGCUCGUCCAGGGCGGGGAUGUCGGGGAUCUUAAGCCCGCCUUCGUAGAGCUUGUACAUGUCCUCAAAGUCGUCGAACUCGCGCGGCGAGACGGAGUCGAACUGCUGGCGGAGGAGGGGGAGGAUGCCGCCGGAGAUGGCCUUGAUGAGGUAGGCCGUGAAGUCGGCUUUCUUGACGUGGUUGAAGUUCUCGUCGCGGGGGACAUAGAACUGUUGGAGCACAGGCAAGACGUUCCUGCUCUCGCACGUGGGGUCGGUCACCAUGGGCUUCCUGCCGGUGCGGCCUCGGCGCGGGUAUGGGUACAAGCUGUCGGGGCCGCCGAGGGUGGGGCGAGGGUUCUUGUGGUCUGGAUCGCCGAGGUCGUUGUAGAGGUCGUAGCGGUAGACGCGGUCGUGCUCCUCAUAGGCGCCGUUCUUCUGCCUGGGGUCAUCCCCUCGCAGGAUCCGGAGCUCGUCCUCCCGGAACGGCUGCAACAGCAUCGGCAUCUCGCUUGGCAGGAUAUGGAUGGAUGCUCUUGGAUGUUCCUUACUGGGGUCGGCGACGGUGGAGCUGAUGAGCUGGCAGGUGACGCCUUUGGUGGUGACCUCGUCCCAGGUGUCGUGGCUGAGGGGUUGCUGCCAGUGGUUCAAGUCGAGGAGGUUCCUGCGCAUGAGCACCACCUUCCCCUUGAGCUGCGGCGGCGUCAUCCACCCGAACAUCUUCCUCACGCUCUCACUCCGCUCCUUGGCUGGCUAGUUGAUCGAUCUACUAGCGCUCAGGCUGCUUGCUUGCUUUGGGACGAGGAAGCUCACGAGUGCCCUUUUAUAGGAACCAGGGGUCGGAGGAGCGUGUGCCGGAGCUACCUCUGCGUGUUACACGCCUAUGGUUGCCGUCGUUCUCUACGUACCCUGGCAGGCCCGCGUCGUCUUCCUUCCCGGCGUCCGGUUCUCGCAGCGACGUGUGGCGCCGGCCGGCCUCCACCGGUCGCGCGUUAUCGCGUCGCUGCAUGCGGACGAUUCAGUCGAUGCCAUGCAAAUAACCCAUGUGAAUUUGCAUGUGCGUAUGUGUGUACAUGGAAGACCUAUCAAGUGAUCACAAGGCGACGGAGUUGA
rnacentral:rRNA from 1 species